GACGAACGCUGGCGGCGUGCUUAACACAUGCAAGUCGAACGGAAAGGCCCUGCUUUUGUGGGGUGCUCGAGUGGCGAACGGGUGAGUAACACGUGAGUAACCUGCCCUUGACUUUGGGGUAACUUCCGGAAACUGGGGCUACUACCGGAUAGGAGCUCCUGCUGCAUGGUGGGGGUUGGAAAGUUUCGGCGGUUGGGGAUGGACUCGCGGCUUAUCAGCUUGUUGGUGGGGUAGUGGCUUACCAAGGCUUUGACGGGUAGCCGGCCUGAGAGGGUGACCGGCCACAUUGGGACUGAGAUACGGCCCAGACUCCUACGGGAGGCAGCAGUGGGGAAUAUUGCACAAUGGGCGGAAGCCGGAUGCAGCAACGCCGCGUGCGGGAUGACGGCCUUCGGGUGGUAAACCGCUUUCGCCUGUGACGAAGCGUGAGUGACGGUAAUGGGUAAAGAAGCACCGGCUAACUACGUG
rnacentral:rRNA from 1 species